GAGAUUGGAGAGAGGACACACUCCUGGUCAUGACCAUGGAUGCCAAAAUGCAAUCGAUCGAAGCAAACUCGGAAACGAUAUACGGCUCUAACCAUUGGUCCACUGCUCGGAUCUUAAAGUUGUGUCGAAAGUUUUUGCACAUAGGAGCGCAUGUCCUUAAGAGGAAAAUAAUUAAAUUAAAGUUGACCUUGCUGUUUAGAGUAGAACAAGGCUAGGUCGAUGCUAGCUGUUUUUGUUGUGGGGAUUA
rnacentral:lncRNA from 1 species